UAUUAUCCGGAUGGAAGGCUAUUAGAUGCGAAGUUGAAGAGUGGGAGCUCGUAUACAUGGCAGAGUAUUUGUGCGGGGAUCAACACCUUCAAGAGAGGCGCAGUUUGGCGCAUAGGGGAUGGCUCGCAAGUGAACAUUUAGUCUGAUCCGUGGAUACAAGCUAGUACAAAUGGAUGUGUUAUUACACCACGAGGAGCUACCCUAUUAACGAAAGUUUCGGAGAUGAUUAACCCCGUUUCUGGGCUGUAGGAUCAGCAGUUGAUAAAUGAAGUCUUCUGGCCAAUAGAUGCGCAAAGAAUUUUGGCAAUCCCGCUGGCACCAAAUGGGAUGAUGGAUGACUUUGUGGCUUGGAGGUUUACAAAGAAUCACGUGUUUUCGGUGAGAUCGGCUUACUACACCGAAUGGGAACACCAAUUUGCCCGCUGGUUUGAAAGAACAGAAGCAGAACCAUCUCGUCGAUAUCCGGUUUGGGCAAAGCUUUGGAAAUCCCAAGUUCCAGCUAAAAUGAAGAUCCAUGCGUGGAAGGUUCUGCACGGGUUUCUACCAUGCUAUGGGGUUUUGGCCAAUCGCCACAUUGACACACCGGAUGGCUGCCCUAUGUGCGUGGGUCGGUGUGAGGAUAUCAAGCACACAUUGUUCACUUGCCCAAGAGCUACGGACGUUUGGAGAUGCCUGAAAUUGGACGGGUUCAUAGAGGAAGCAUGCGUAACAGAUAGGGCGGGUUCAGCAGUACUGGACUACAUUUUAUGUGCCUCUUCACGGAAAGUCUCGUAUCAGUUGCCUCAAAGCAAGAUAUGA
rnacentral:rRNA from 1 species